AUUGAACGCUGGCGGCAUGCCUUACACAUGCAAGUCGAACGGCAGCACGGGAGCUUGCUCCUGGUGGCGAGUGGCGAACGGGUGAGUAAUACAUCGGAACGUACCCUGAAGUGGGGGAUAACGUAGCGAAAGUUACGCUAAUACCGCAUAUUCUGUGAGCAGGAAAGAGGGGAGUCGCAAGAACCUCUUGCUUUAGGAGCGGCCGAUGUCGGAUUAGCUAGUUGGUGAGGUAAAGGCUCACCAAGGCGACGAUCCGUAGCGGGUCUGAGAGGAUGAUCCGCCACACUGGGACUGAGACACGGCCCAGACUCCUACGGGAGGCAGCAGUGGGGAAUUUUGGACAAUGGGCGCAAGCCUGAUCCAGCCAUGCCGCGUGAGUGAAGAAA
rnacentral:rRNA from 1 species